rnacentral:rRNA from 1 species
CACGUAGGCACCAAGCGUUGUCCGGAUUUAUUGGGCGUAAAGAGCUCGUAGGCGGUUCAGUAAGUCGGGUGUGAAAACUCUGGGCUCAACCCAGAGACGCCACCCGAUACUGCUGUGACUUGAGUACGGUAGGGGAGUGGGGAAUUCCUGGUGUAGCGGUGAAAUGCGCAGAUAUCAGGAGGAACACCAGGGGCGAAGGCGCCACUCUGGGCCGUAACUGACGCUGAGGAGCGAAAGCGUGGGUAGCAAACAGG